rnacentral:ribozyme from 1 species
UUUUUUUUUUUUUUUUUUUUUUUUUUUUCAA